UGAUAUAAAAAGAAAUAAACUUCCAGCUAUAUUUAAUUGUUUUUUUAUAAAACAAGUACAUGUAUGUGAGAAACCUUUCAGGAACAAGUUAUCUACUAUAGCCAGCCAAGCCUUUACUGCAUACAUGUGCACAUUUUUAGUUGAUGCAUCUAAAAGAUAUUGUUUUGAUUCGGUGUUUCUUUGUUUUCUUUUUAUUCAAAUAAUUUUAAAAUGUGAUGAUGUACACAACAAUAAUUAGUACCUAGUUUAGAGGAUUUUUUCGUGCUUGUUUGUAAACAACGCGCGGCAUUGUGGGAAAUAGGAAGGUACUAAAGACGCGAUGUACUAAACACUGAUUUGACCUGAUUCAAAUUUGUCUGUAACUGUUCCAAACAAUUGAAUUUUUGUAUAGCAUAUGCCUCAAAGUCAUAAAGUCUGUACAUAAGUAAUUUAAAAUACUCAAUAUCACCAUUUAAUUAAAAAUUAAAACGUCAGGUAAAUAUCAGGUCUCUAGUAUAUCCCGUUUUUAGUGUGCCCCUUCGAGUCGACGUUGGACACAUGUUUACAAACUGAAAAUAGAAUGAUUUGUGAAGUUGAACAUUUUCUGACAAAGAAUCCGUUUGUAGACAUGUACACUCAUUUAAUCUGCAGCUACGAAGUACUUUUUCACUUCUCUGGAACAUUAUUCUAAGCAGAAUUAUCCCGAUUCAUAUAUUCUAAGAAUCUUGUGUGAAUUGUUUACGAGGAAAUUCUGACUGUCACAUUAACAAGGAUGAACACUCUUGACUCUGCUUCGGAUUCGGAUCAUCAUAUCAUUCCCCAGUGAUAAUUGUAUCGAGUGAUGAAAGAGCUGACGGCGACAUUUUAAUGUAUGAUUGGCUUGGACCAUUGGAAUGAAGUCAUUUCAUGGUGCCACCACUUGGGAUGGUAUUGGCUGCAAAUAUAGACUUGUACUCAGCACUUAUUGCCUUUAAGAAGUAUGAGAUCCAUUUUGUGCUAACACCUACCGUGACACAGAAUCUUGGUUUAUGCAGUCUCAUAGGAGUAACCUGUCUAAAGCAUUUAGCAAUGGGAUUGGAACCUGCGACGUGUGACUCAUCUGAAUACUGAAUUUUGAUACCAAGCAUGACCAUGAUUUGCCAGAAGAUCAUCUGUUUGGAUGUGACAUGGAAUAAACAGCAUAGUGAAAAUAAGUCAAGUUUUGGUUUGUGAAGACAAUUUUUAAACACACUGUGUAUCAUUUUUAAAUUUUGAUUUGACAACAUAAAUCCACAAAUAUGAACAUAUCAAUUGCUCUCAGUUUUUCAAGUGAAAUAGUUUUUGUAACAGAAAUACAUGUACCAGUAAUUACAUUGGAAUAAAUGUUAUUUUUAAAUAUAAUAAUAUUUUGUUUGUGUAGCAUGUUGACCUCUUUAUUAAGGUCUUCCCUUUCAAAGUUUAGACUUACUUAUUCUAAUGAUUAAGAAAGAUCCUCUGUCUUCAGCAGGAAUAUAAGAUCUUGUAAUACAUGUAUGUGUAUUUUUUACAGUAUAAUGUAAAAAAAAUUGUUAUUUUGGCACAUACAACUAAUUAAAGGCAUAAACAUGUGUAUGAUUCCAAGGAAUUAAGUACAUAGGGCAUGUACAUGUAGUUUUCUAAAACAAGAUUGAAGAGAUGUCCAGUCGCAUUUCAAUGUCAACUCCAAAACUGUGCCUGUUGCAUACUUAUUAGCCCAUCUGAGCUAAAGGAAC